AGAUCAAGAAAGGAGGAAUUCGGACCUAGAUCGAGGCAAAAACAAAGUGCUCGAUUGAUCGACUAAUAUCGUCAUUUUUACGUUUGAGUGUCAUAAAGCUAGCUUGGAUCCGGGGAUCGUCAGCGACUCAUUCACACUAUCGGACAUCUAUUUUGGUACCAUUUUGAGAGUUGUAUAUAUAGUAUAUGGCAUGUAUAGGCUAGAAGUAUUUUGGUAUACUUUGUGAUGUGAAUAUCUAGCCAUGAGAUUUGGCUUAUAAAUAUUGGUAUGUAUGGCCUUUUAAUUUGGCCUAAAUGGUGUAUUUGAUAGGUAAGUCAUAUGAUGUAUAUAAUGUUCAUGUGAUGGUUUGAGUAUGGAAUGAUGAAUUGGUAAUUUUGUGAUAUGAAGUAUAUGAUAAAGUGA